rnacentral:pre_miRNA from 1 species
CCUUCCAGCGGGGACUCUUGACUUGGGACUCGGACAGCUGCUUUCACUUGUUCUGCUGCUUGAUCUACUGGUCCAGCUCUUUAGUGAACACUUCAUCCAUGAUGCCA